AUUCAGGGCUGCAUGCGUUCCCUGGAAGUCAGAUGGGGCCACACGCGCGGGACACGUGAUGUGAUGUGCUGCUCUCCGCUGGCCUCCGGGUCCGGGUCCGCUGACUCACUUAGAAGGGCCGCCGCCCAGUGAUAGCCCAGGCUGAGGGGGGCGCUUCCAUUCCAUGGGUCUGUCCCACUCCCCUAGCAGGUGAGACCAGCAGCUCUUGUGGGAGAACAGGAGGGUUGGCUGUGGAAUUCAGUUCUACCUGGCUGAGGCCAUUGACAUCUUUUACAGUUCCUUUUUAAAGUUUUUAAAGCUGUAUCAGCCAUUUAAAAAGUCUAUAUGUUUUUUUCAGUUGAGAAACAUGUAAAGAAGGAAAUGAACAUGAGCCACAGUCCCCAUCUUCCCACCCGAACGUAACCAACCACUAUUAGCAUUUCGUUGUCAUCCUCCUGACAUGCUCACAUGGUCACCUAGGGAUGUACCAGUGACAAAAGGAGAUUCCAUGAUGUUUCAUCACGGGAAUUUUCACUUAACUUACCAAAGACGUGGAAAGACAGAAAAACACGCCAUGUACAGGUGUGAGAGUUGGACCAUAAAGAAGGCUGAGCACCAAAGAAUUGAUGCUUUUGAAUUGUUGUGCUGGAGAAGACACUUGAGAGAGUGUCUUGGAGAGACCCUUGGACAGCAAAGGAGAUUGAACCAGUCAAUCCUAAAAGAAAUCAACCUUGAAUAUUCAUUGGAAGGACUGAUGCUAAUGCUCCAGUAUUUUGGCCACUUGAUGUGAAGAGCUGACUCACUGGAAAAGACCCUGAUGCUGAGAAAGAUUGAAAGCAAAAGGAAAAGGGGCCGCCAGAGGAUGAGAUGGUUAGAUAGCAUCAGUGACUCAAUGGACAUGAAUUUGAGCAGCUCUGGGAUACAGUGAAGGACAGAGGAGCCUGGUAUGCUAUAGUCCAUGAGGCUGUGAAGAGUUGGACAUGACUUGGU
ensembl:lncRNA